rnacentral:rRNA from 1 species
GACGAACGCUGGCGGCGUGCUUAACACAUGCAAGUCGAACGGAAAGGCCCUGCUUUUGUGGGGUGCUCGAGUGGCGAACGGGUGAGUAACACGUGAGUAACCUGCCCUUGACUUUGGGAUAACUUCAGGAAACUGGGGCUAAUACCGGAUAGGAGCUCCUGCUGCAUGGGGGGGGUUGGAAAGUGUCGGCGGUUGGGGAUGGACUCGCGGCUUAUCAGCUUGUUGGUGGGGUAGUGGCUUACCAAGGCUUUGACGGGUAGCCGGCCUGAGAGGGUGACCGGCCACCUUGGGACUGAGAUACGGCCCAGACUCCUACGGGAGGCAGCAGUGGGGAAUCUUGCGCAAUGGGCGGAAGCCUGAUGCAGCAACGCCGCGUGCGGGAUGACGGCCUUCGGGUUGUAAACCGCUUUCGCCUGUGCCGAAGCGUGAGUGACGGUAAUGGGUAAAGAAGCACCGGCUAACUACGUG